rnacentral:rRNA from 1 species
UGAGGAAUAUUGGUCAAUGGGCGCAAGCCUGAACCAGCCAUGCCGCGUGCAGGAUGACGGUCCUAUGGAUUGUAAACUGCUUUUGCACAGGAAGAAACACUGAUUCGUGAAUCAGCUUGACGGUACUGUGAGAAUAAGGAUCGGCUAACUCCGUG